AGUCUGGAAGAUUUAGGAAGAAUAAUCUGAGUUAACAAGUUACUUAGUUAUCACUUAUCAAAUAUCAACCAAUGCCAUGGAUAAUUUCAGACUUUCAGAGUUUCAGUCCUGGUAACUGGUGUAGGCUGUGUUGAGAUUGCUGAACAAGAG